rnacentral:lncRNA from 1 species
CAAUUGUUCAAAGAACAAUUGAAGGUCUUUCCACAAGUAAAGAUCUAUUUUAUUAUCAAAAUAUUAAAAAUCAAUCUAAAAUGUCAGUUCCUAUGACUUUAUAAUGUAUAAAUAUGAAUUUAAAGCAAAGGUCAAAAUCUAGAACGUCCUAUUAACCUUUGACCUUGACCUCAAUUUCAAGGUGACCAACCAAGGACCUCAAA